AUACGGAGGAUGCGAGCGUUAUCCGGAUUUAUUGGGUUUAAAGGGAGCGUAGGUGGGAUAUUAAGUCAGCUGUGAAAGUUUGGGGCUCAACCUUAAAAUUGCAGUUGAUACUGGUUUCCUUGAGUACGGUACAGGUGGGCGGAAUUCGUGGUGUAGCGGUGAAAUGCUUAGAUAUAAGGAAGAACUCCGGUGGCGAAGGCGGUCGUCUGGGCUGAAUCUGACGCUGAGGCACGAAAGCGUGGGGAGCAAACAGGAUUAGAUACCCUGGUAGUCCACGCCCUAAACUAUGAGGAGCAGGUGUUGGUAAGAGAUUAUCAGUGCCGAAGCUAACGCAAUGACUCCUCCGCCUGGGGAGUAUGCACGCAAGUGUGAAACUCAAAUGAAUUGACGG
rnacentral:rRNA from 1 species